GCCAAGUCGUAAAAAAUCAACUCACACAAUCAACGCCAGGGUAUUACGAGCUUUAGCUUAAAACCCAAAGGACUUGACGGUGUCCCACCCCGCUAGAGGAGCCUGUUCUAUAAUCGAUAAUCCACGUUAUACCCAACCAUUUUUUGCCUUUCAGCCUGUAUACCUCCGUCGUAAACUUACCACAUGAGUGAAUAACAGUAGGUUUAAUAGCUCAAACACUACAACGUCAGGUCAAGGUGCAGCUCACAAAAUGGAUAGCAAUGGGCUACAAUUUCUAAGCUAGAACAAACGAAUUACUGCAUGAAAUAUAGUCAUGAAGGCGGAUUUAGUAGUAAGUAGGGAAUAGAGAGCCCCACUGAACUCGGCUCUGGGACGUGU
rnacentral:rRNA from 1 species